rnacentral:rRNA from 1 species
CCUCUGCCGCCGGAUGACCAAGGGUUCCUGGGCCAGGCUAAUCCGCCCAGGGUAAGUCGGGACCUAAGGCGAGGCCGACAGGCGUAGUCGAUGGACAACGGGUUGAUAUUCCCGUACCCGCGUGAACGCGCCCAUGAUGAGGCGGUUGAUGCUAACCACCCAAAGCGGUGUUUGGAGCCUUCGGGCGAAAAGCAUUGUGGAGCGUGGGACCCGAUUCCGUAUUAGUCAAGCGAUGGGGUGACGCAGGAAGGUAGUUCCGCCAGUGAGUGGAUGUACUGGUGUAAGCGUGUAGGCCGAACGAUAGGCAAAUCCGUCGUUCAUGUGGCUGAGACGUGAUGCGUAGCCGAUUGAGGCGAAGUGGAUGAUCCUAUGCUGCCGAGAAAAGCCUCUAGUG